UAACACAAUGCAAGUCGAGCGGAAACGAGUUAUCUGAACCUUCGGGGAACGAUAACGGCGUCGAGCGGCGGACGGGUGAGUAAUGCCUGGGAAAUUGCCCUGAUGUGGGGGAUAACUAUUGGAAACGAUAGCUAAUACCGCAUAAUGUCUACGGACCAAAGAGGGGGACCUUCGGGCCUCUCGCUUCAGGAUAUGCCCAGGUGGGAUUAGCUAGUUGGUGAGGUAAUGGCUCACCAAGGCGACGAUCCCUAGCUGGUCUGAGAGGAUGAUCAGCCACACUGGAACUGAGACACGGUCCAGACUCCUACGGGAGGCAGCAGUGGGGAAUAUUGCACAAUGGGCGCAAGCCUGAUGCAGCCAUGCCGCGUGUAUGAAGAAGCCUUCGGGUUGUAAAGUACUUUCAGUCGUGAGGAAGGCAAU
rnacentral:rRNA from 1 species